AGUGAACGCUGGCGGUAGGCCUAACACAUGCAAGUCGAACGGCAGCACAGUAAGAGCUUGCUCUUACGGGUGGCGAGUGGCGGACGGGUGAGGAAUACAUCGGAAUCUACUUUUUCGUGGGGGAUAACGUAGGGAAACUUACGCUAAUACCGCAUACGACCUACGGGUGAAAGCAGGGGAUCUUCGGACCUUGCGCGAUUGAAUGAGCCGAUGUCGGAUUAGCUAGUUGGCGGGGUAAAGGCCCACCAAGGCGACGAUCCGUAGCUGGUCUGAGAGGAUGGUCGGCCGCCCUGGAACGUGGACACGGUCCAGACUCCUACGGGAGGGAGCAGUGGGGAAUGUUGGGCAGUAGGGGGGAACCUUGUCCAGCCGUACCGCGUGGGUUGAGGAGGCCUUCGGGUUGUAAAGCCCUUUUUUUGGUAAAGAAAAGCAGCAGGUUAAUACCCCGCUGUUCUGACGGUACCCAAAGAAUAAGCACCGGCUAACUUCGUG
rnacentral:rRNA from 1 species